rnacentral:rRNA from 1 species
GACGAACGCUGGCGGCGUGCUUAACACAUGCAAGUCGAACGCUGAAGCUUGGUGCUUGCACUGGGUGGAUGAGUGGCGAACGGGUGAGUAAUACGUGAGUAACCUGCCCUUGACUCUGGGAUAAGCCUGGGAAACUGGGUCUAAUACUGGAUACGACAUGCCACUGCAUGGUGGUGUGUGGAAAGGGGUUUACUGGUUUUGGAUGGGCUCACGGCCUAUCAGCUUGUUGGUGGGGUAAUGGCCGACCAAGGCGACGACGGGUAGCCGGCCUGAGAGGGUGACCGGCCACACUGGGCCUGAGACACGGCCCAGACUCCUACGGGAGGCAGCAGUGGGGAAUAUUGCACAAUGGGCGGAAGCCUGAUGCAGCGACGCCGCGUGAGGGAUGACGGCCUUCGGGUUGUAAACCUCUUUCAGCACGGAAGAAGCGAGAGUGACGGUACGUGCAGAAGAAGCGCCGGCUAACUACGUG